ACCAGCACCUCAAGUGGUCAGGAGGAUUAUUGGGCCUAAAGCAUCCGUAGCCGGCUCUGUAAGUUUUCGGUUAAAUUCAUGUGCUCAACGCAUGGGCUGUCGAAAAUACUGCAUAGCUAGGGAGUGGGAGAGGUAGACGGUACUCGGUAGGAAGGGGUAAAAUCCUUUGAUCUAUCGAUGACCACCUGUGGCGAAGGCGGUCUACCAGAACACGUUCGACGGUGAGGGAUGAAAGCUGGGGGAGCAAACCGGAUUAGAUACCCGGGUAGUCCCAGCUGUAAACGAUGCAGACUCGAUGAUGCAUUGGCAUAUAGCCAGUGCAGUGUCGCAGGGAAGCCGUUAAGUCUGCCGCCUGGGAAGUACGUACGCAAGUAUGAAACUUAAAGGAAUUGGCGGGGGAGCACCACAAGGGGUGAAGCCUGCGGUUCAAUUGGACUCAACGCCGGAA
rnacentral:rRNA from 1 species